rnacentral:rRNA from 1 species
UACAGAGGGUGCGAGCGUUGUCCGGAAUUACUGGGCGUAAAGGGCGCGUAGGCGGCUUGGUAAGUCGGGGGUGAAAGUCAGCGGCUCAACCGCUGGACUGCCUUCGAGACUGCCUGGCUUGAGCAUGGUAGAGGCUGGCGGAAUUCCCGGUGUAGCGGUGGAAUGCGUAGAGAUCGGGAAGAACAUCGGUGGCGAAGGCGGCCAGCUGGGCCAUUGCUGACGCUGAUGCGCGACAGCG